rnacentral:rRNA from 1 species
UACGUAGGCAGCAAGCGUUGUUCGGAGUUACUGGGCGUAAAGGGUGUGUAGGUGGUUGUCUAAGUUUGGUGUGAAAUCUCCCGGCUUAACCGGGAGGGUGCGCCGAAAACUGGGUGACUAGAGUGCAGGAUGGGAGAGUGGAAUUCCUGGUGUAGCGGUGAAAUGCGUAGAUAUCAGGAGGAACACCGGCGGUGUAGACGGCUCUCUGGACUGUAACUGACACUGAAACACGAAAGCGUGGGUAGCAAACAGG